AUUGAACGCUGGCGGCAUGCUUUACACAUGCAAGUCGAACGGUAACAGGCCGCAAGGUGCUGACGAGUGGCGAACGGGUGAGUAAUGCAUCGGAACGUGCCCAGUCGUGGGGGAUAACUGCUCGAAAGAGCAGCUAAUACCGCAUACGAUCUAUGGAUGAAAGCGGGGGACCGUAAGGCCUCGCGCGAUUGGAGCGGCCGAUGUCAGAUUAGGUAGUUGGUGGGGGAAAGGCUCACCAAGCAAACGAUCUGUAGCUGGUCUGAGAGGACGACCAGCCAAACUGGGACUGGGACACGGCCAAGACUCCUACGGGAGGCAGCAGUGGGGAAUUUUGGACAAUGGGGGCAACCCUGAUCCAGCAAUGCCGCGUGCAGGAAGAAGGCCUUCGGGUUGUAAACUGCUUUUGUACGGAACGAAACGGUCUGGGUUAAUACCCUGGGCUAAUGACGGUACCGUAAGAAUAAGCACCGGCUAACUACGUGCCAGCCGCCGCCGUAACAC
rnacentral:rRNA from 1 species